rnacentral:lncRNA from 1 species
UAACUUCUCCCUACUCACUACCUUGGGUAUAAACAAGUAAAGACUAACUACUUACUCUCGCCCUUAAGUAAAUGGUGUGAGUUGAAGACCGAGCCCCUCUUCGUAUUCUUAGAACAUAUGAGCUAUCGGGCCAAGUAACGGAUAGACAAGACGCCUAGUCACUACAAAAGCUAGAGCAGCGCUUGGCGAGUCCUAAUUGAGUCUUUUUAUUCCGACGACUACUCUAGUAAAGUUUCUAUGGGUGGUUGGUUACCGGUAUCCAUCAUACCUUGCUAAUUCAGCUGUUUCUUCCGAUCUGUCAAGCUACUACUA